rnacentral:rRNA from 1 species
CUUUGUACACACCGCCCGUCGCUACUACCGAUUGAAUGGCUCAGUGAGGCGUCCGGACUGGCCCAGAGAGGUGGGCAACUACCACUCAGGGCCGGAAAGCUCUCCAAACUCGGUCAUUUAGAGGAAGUAAAAGUCGUAACAAGGUCUCCGUUGGUGAACCAGCGGAGGGAUCAUUACCGAGUUUAC